rnacentral:tRNA from 1 species
GCGGACGUAGCCCAAUCGGAAGAGGCACCUGCUUCAAGCCCAGGCAAGUGUAGGUUCGAAUCCUGCCGUCCGCA